UCAAAAAAAUAUUAUUUUUAAUUUUAGAAAUAGAGUAUCAUGAAUAAAUUGACAAUGUUAAAUUUGAGUCAAGCAACCAUGGAAAAAAUAAUGUUGAUGAUGUUUGGUUAUUUAUGUGAUCAACAUGAAUAUUCAAAAUAAGUAAACAAACAAAGAAGUUUUUCUGAAUAUUUUGAUUAAAAUUCGCCAACAAAUAACUGCAUAAAAAGAGAAUACUAACUAAAUCAGGACUCGAACAUGAGGUCACACAAUCACAUCGUGAGUAUAUGCCAACAGUGCUACCAUGGUCGGCUAUUGAAAAACUAUACUCUAUAGUAAGAUGUACCAUUACGGGAUCUGUAAAGAAUCUGAAUCUGAAAAGAAUCUGAAUCUGAAUAAAUAUUAGCAAGGAUCAUACAUUUUUCUGGAUUCUCUCUAACAAAUAGGAGGAUAUAGGCAAGGGCAAAUAUUUUAAACAUAUGAGCAGAGUGACCUUUUUAUUAACAAACAGCACGUCAUUACGGAGUGGACAUAUUCAAAAUAUACAGCUCUGAGCGUGCAAGCUGAAACUGAGGUGAUCAAAUAACACCAGGAACAGAGUUAAACCAAGAAAAGUUCAACUUCAUCCAAAGUCUAUUGACUAAUGACAACGUACAAUCUCUAACGGAAAAAUGAUCUUUUUGGUUUUAAAUAAGCCCAAAAAUAGAGGCACGUCAUGUGUCAUCAAUAAACUCUGGGACCAUUGGACUUAUUAUGUAGGACAGGUGCAAGUCAGUUCUUGAAUUGUCAAAUCUAUAAUAGACGAGCUUUUGAAGAAGUAUAAUAUGCUGAACACAAUCGAAAGCUUUUGGCAAAUUGUAAGAUGUUGCCUGAGAGGGGAAACUGCACUCAAACUCUCCAAAAUCUUGCCACACAAGUCUUGGACCGUGAUAUCCGUUGAGUAUUCAUGUCUAAAGCCAUGUUAAUCUUCUAUUUGACUCUUUAGUAAGGUCUCAAAGAUUUCACCAAAAAAUUUGGACUAAAAAAAUUGGGUCCAUUUUAGAUCCUUUUUAUGUAUCGGUAUGAGUUUUGCAAUUUUAAGACAAUCGAGGAAAAUGCAAAAAUCUAUGAUAGAAUCAAUCAGUUCACGCAUCUGAGUAUAAGUCACUGAUAUUGAAAAAUCAAAGCUAGGAACUCAAUUACCAGUCAAAUAGGGGUUUCCGGAAGGUGGAGGAAGCAUUAGUUUUAAGGUAAUCGGAGCAUUAAUAAAUAUCUCAAUAAAAUUACAAGUAUUUAUUUGACUUGGUGACGUCUCUAUCACAUUAGUAAGCUUCAAUGACUUUCUACAUAGCUUGAGGAGGAUUAAGUACUAGCUUUAUUUAUAAAUGUAUCAUUUGACUCUAUUUUUUUUUUAAAAAAUUUCUGCUACACUCAGUUGAGUAGUUCCACACAGUUUCAGCAGGCACUAAGUAGGGAUAUUUCUAAUUAACCUGCUUUAAAGGCAAAAUUUAUCCCUCAUUUAUAUCAAAGAAUCAUUAAACUACUUUGAU